CCUACGGGUGGCUGCAGUGAGGAAUAUUGGUCAAUGGGCGCGAGCCUGAACCAGCCAAGUAGCGUGAAGGAUGAAUGCCCUACGGGUUGUAAACUUCUUUUAUAAGGGAAUAAAGUGAGGCACGUAGGUAUUUUUGUAUGUACUUUAUGAAUAAGGAUAGGCUAACGCCGUGCCAGCAGCCGCGGUAAUACGGAGGAUCCGAGCGUUAUCCGGAUUUAUUGGGGUUAAAGGGAGCGUAGAUGGGUUGUUAAGUCAGAUGUGAAAGUUUGCGGCUCAACCGUAAAAUUGCAAUUGAUACUGGCAGACUUGAGUACAGUUGAGGUAGGCGGAAUUCGUGGUGUAGCGGUGAAAUGCGUAGAUAUCACGAAGAACUCCGAUUGCGAAGGCAGCCUACUAAACUGCCACUGACAUUGAUGCUCGAAAGUGUGGGUAUCAAACAGGAUUAGAUACCCCAGUAGUC
rnacentral:rRNA from 1 species